rnacentral:lncRNA from 1 species
GGGGGAAGCUGCCCAGAGACUGCAGCACCGCCUCAUCGAGCCCAACACUGCGGCAGUCUUUGCCUCCGAACAUGCAUCGAAACAAGUGUCCUGAGAGAUGGCAACAUCAGUGACCCGGCGCUUCGGAAUACCAGGGCUGAAGAAAACCAUGGACUGGUUUGGCUACUAUGGAGGUCCCUGCCGUGCCCCCUUGCAGGAGUUGAGCCCCUCAGAGGAAGAGGCGCUUCGCUUGGAUUUCAGCAACAAUGGCUGGCUUUAAUGACAAGCGGGGGACA